rnacentral:lncRNA from 1 species
CGAAAUGAUCACAAAAUAGACUUGAAGUUAAAGCGUUGUCCUUGCACGGUUUGACCACAUACAACAGCCCCUCGCUCUAUCACCUCCAUACAAACAGUAUACAAGGACACUCACUCCACUCUGCUGCAAGGACACACCACAGAGCCAUCGAGACACAAGGACGUUACCUAGGCUGAUGACUCUUCAGUAUCAGCAAGCAACAGCUAAAUAAGGACUGGCAUGGCACCGUAAUCCAGCUGAAGUUCGGUGCCUCAGUGAAGAUGGCAUAUUGAAAGUGUUAUCCCUAUUGGUGUUAUAUCCCUAUUUGGUCGUUUUUUAAACCCCAACCCCCCUUCUCUCUCUCUGUCUGCAACCCUUAAUGGCUCCUCACCUGCGCAGGUAUGAGAUCAGGGGACUUACACCUGGUGGAGGAGAAUGUUCUGGAGUCCCUGAAGCUCAAAGCGGACCUUCCACAACUUCAAGCCGCGGCCCUUCAACAUGCGGGAGUUCUACGACCGUACGGGCCACGACAUCAGCGACAUGCUGCUCUCCUGCCACUUUCAGGGGCUUGGAGUGCCGAGCGGAAGACUUCAAAGGUCCGACUGCGCCGUUGAGAGCAAAAGCAAUCUUCUCUUUUGAAUGAAACUGUUAACAGCCCCAUACUGCCACAGUCUUAACUGAUGAUCGCUGAGACGUACGCUAGAUCAGCUCUGAGGAUUGAUAAGGACGAGAAGGCUAGUUUCAGUUCAAAAUACUUAAGUAGUGUGUGUGUGUGUGUGUGUGUGUGUGUGUGUGUGUGUGUGUGUGUGUGUGUGUGUGGUGUGUGUGUGUGUGUGUGUGUGUGUGUGUGCGCGUGCGUGCGUGCGUGCGUGCGUGCGUGCGUGUGUGUGUGUGUGUGUGUGUAUGUGAGCGUGAGCAUGGGUGUGAGCGUUUGUGUUUGAGCGUGUGUGUGUAAGCAUGUCUGUGUGUGUGUGAGUGUGUGCGUCUCCCUCUGUGUGUCAGUGAGUGUCCUGAACCUUACAUCACUACUAGUUAAGUCAGUCAUGUGUGUCUCCCACUCGGUCUACCACUUGCCGCUGGGCAGGAAGUGAAGAUGCCCUUGUCUACGAAGACCCAACGCGGUGCUUCUCAAAUUGUAUUGAGUCCGAGCACAGUGGCGGGGGUGAUUACCCUGGAGAGAUCUAAGGC